AUGUUUGCUCGCGCCUCGGGGGCUUCUCAGUUCUGGAAAGACCUUGUUAAACUCAGGCCAAUUUUCCAAGGCCUCGUCAAGUUUCUUGUUCACAACGGCAGAUCCACUAGAUUUUGUCUUGAUUGGUGGUGUGGUUCGACUACGUUGGCAAACUCUUUUCCUGUUCUUUUUUCUUAUUGUCCUGACCCCGAGAUCUCAAUCUUUGAGCUCUCUGCCAAUAAUUGGGAUCUGCGUCUUCGUCGCUCUCUUUCUCCUGAAAAGUUGGUUGACUGGCAGCGCCUUGUUGCCUUCUUCCCUGUGCUCUCGAAGGAGGAGGACUCGGUGGUGUGGCCCCACUCCCCUUCUGGUCGUUUUUCUGUGAAAUCGUUAUAUGGUAAGCUGAUCUCGGGCACCACCACUUCCAAAUUAAAGUGGAUCUGGAGGGCUCGUAUCCCUCCUAAGAUCAAGAUUUUCCUCUGGCAAGCUUCUCGCGGGCGGGUGCCGGCUGGUGACCAGAUCCGCAAACAUAAUGGCUUUGGUUCUGACCGUUGCGCCCUCUGUGGGUUAAGAGAAGACACGAUGCAUAUCUUCUUUAAUUGUGUACUGGCUAAACUAUUCUGGUGUUGUGUCAGAUCUUGGAUGAAUGUGUCCUGGAGACCGUCCUCCUUCUCAGACCUUCGACUCUUGGCCAACAACCUGGUUGGGGCCCAGAGGAGAAUGUUUUGGGUGGGCUUUGCAGCGAUGUGCUGGACUCUUUGGACGACAAGAAACAAAUUUACUAUUGAACUUGUUUUUCCUGCUGAUUGCUUAUUUAAAACUUGCAUAUUCUUGCAGCAGUGGAGAUUAUUGAUUAAGGAGGAGGACAGGGAUGCGCUCGAUAUGAUGAUAUCCAAGAUCCGAGCUUUUGCUAUCUCCCUUUCUCCAGUUCAAGCCGGCAGUUAG
rnacentral:rRNA from 1 species